GGGGAUGUAGCUCAGUGGUAGAGCACAUAUUUUGCAUGUAUGAGGCCUGGGGUUCAAUCCCCGGCAUCUCUA
rnacentral:tRNA from 1 species